AAAUGCGAUAAGUAAUGUGAAUUGCAGAAUUCAGUGAAUCAUCGAAUCUUUGAACGCACCUUGCGCUCCUUGGUAUUCCUUGGAGCAUGCCUGUUUGAGUAUCAUGAAAUCUUCAAAGUAAAUCUUUUGUUAACUCAAUUGGUUUCUACUUUGGUAUUGGAGGUCUUUGCAGCUUCACACCCGCUCCUCUUUGUUCAUUAGCUGGAUCUCAGUGUUAUGCUUGGUUCCACUCGGCGUGAUAAGUUAUCUAUCGCUGAGGACACUGUAAAAGGUGGCCAAGGUAAAUGCAGAUGAACCGCUUCUAAUAGUCCAUUGACUUGGACAAUACUUUUAUGAUCUGAUCUCAAAUCAGGUAGGACUACCCGCUGAACUUAAGC
rnacentral:misc_RNA from 1 species